GCUCAGCUUCCAGCUUAAAAAAGACUGGACAGUACUUUUACUGUUUUCCCUCCUUAGAAUUAGAGCCUGUCCUUGAAAAGUUACAGGGUAUAGUCCAUUUGAACUUUUAUAUGGACGUACUUUCCUGUUGGGCCCCAACCUCAUGCCAGACACCAGCCCUCUAGGCGACUAUCUUCCAGUCCUCCAGCAGGCUAGACCACUCAAAGCAGCCCUGAGAAACGUAGCCCAUCACCCCUCCAUACCGCCCCAAAAUUUUCACCGCAAGUUUUCACUACUCUUUCUCAUUUUAUUUCUUCAUUAUUAACAUAAAAAGACAGGAACGUAAGGUCCUCUGAGCUGGCCGCACCAUGGUCAAGCCAUAGUGACAACCCCCCCACAAUCCCCCUGGUCCCGGGCGUUGUGAUAAUGUUCUUUGUGAUACUCCCCCAUCCUUGUGAAUGUACUUUGUAAAUUCCUCCUCGCCCUUGUGACAAUACACCCUCCCCACCCUUGUGAAUGUACUUUGUAGGAUGCACC
rnacentral:lncRNA from 1 species